AGUACUGACGCUGAGAUGCGAAGCGUGGGGAGCAAACAGGAUUAGAUACCCUGGUAGUCACGCUGUAAACGAUGUCGAUUUGGAGUUUGUUGCCUAGAGUGAUGGGCUCCGAAGCUAACGCGAUAAAUCGACCGCUGGGGAGUACGGCCGCAAGAUUAAAACUCAAAUGAAUUGACGGGGGCCCGCACAAGCGGUGGAGCAUGUGGUUUAAUUCGAUGCAACGCGAAGAACCUUACCUGGUCUUGACAUCCAUAGAAUUCUGCAGAGAUGUGGGAGUGCCUUCGGGAACUAUGAGACAGGUGCUGCAUGGCUGUCGUCAGCUCGUGUUGUGAAAUGUUGGGUUAAGUCCCGCAACGAGCGCAACCCUUAUUCUUUGUUGCCAGCGAUUUGGUCGGGAACUCAAAGGAGACUGCCGUUGAUAAAGCGGAGGAAGGUGGGGACGACGUCAAGUCAUCAUGGCCCUUACGACCAGGGCUACACACGUGCUACAAUGGCGUAUACAAAGGGAAGCGAAGGUGCGAGCUGGAGCGGAUCUCAUAAAGUACGUCUAAGUUCGGAUUGGAGUCUGCAACUCGACUCCAUGAAGUCGGAAUCGCUAGUAAUCGUAGAUCAGAAUGCUACGGUGAAUACGUUCCCGGGCCUUGUACACACCGCCCGUCACACCAUGGGAGUGGGUUGCACCAGAAGUAGAUAGCUUAACCGCGAGGGGGGCGUUUACCACGGUGUGAUUCAUGACUGGGGUGAAGUCGUAACAAGGUAACCA
rnacentral:rRNA from 1 species